GUCCUUCCCCCCUCGGUGCAGUCUGCUGACCAUCGGUGUGGCCAAGAAGAAGUUUGCCAGCCGAAGUAGGAGCCAUGUUCAUCGCCAUGCAACCCUCCACUGACUGAGUAGUAUUUUACUGGCAGAUCCUAUAGGUGCUCCAGCACACCUCCUGCUGAAACGGCCCACUAUCAGCCAGGUGAAGAGGCUCUCACAUGCAAAGGAAGGGCUGUUGUGGCACCAAAAUGGAUGAAAGUUGUCUGGGUAGUGCCUCCUUUCUCCGAAAGUUUCAUUUACCCCUGAAAAUCCUAGUGCAUUAAACUGACAACUAUGGACAAGACUGUUUAAGAAACCAGAAACCUUCCUUCCUAACCAUCCUACAGGACUCAAAACUCCAACUCCUGCGUCUCCACUCCAACCAACUGUGUUUAAUUGUGUGAACAUUUUAACCACCCUCUUUCUCUGAUAGGAGCAUCCUACUUCUACUACUCCUCUGCCUCUUUAUAACCUUUAGUCGAUCUGUGUUUGGGGUCGAUCACCUCUUAGGGCAGUGAGGGGAGUAGGUGUGUGAAUGUCAGUCCAAACUGCAAUUGUCUGAGCUGCGGAGCUCUAGUUGGAGCUACUGUAGCUCGUAGUCAUCAGUCGAAACAUAGUUUUCCUUGCAUUCAGGGUUGUCAGCUAUCGUUGUUUUUGUAGUUCUUGCCCCAAGAGACACUCCACGUGCUCCCCCAUGCUCGGUGUGAUGGUGGCUUCGGUAAGGUAUUUGUUAUGGCUUCGGUAAGGUAUUUGUCAGCUGCGCACUCUGACAUCAUCAGAGUGCCCAGCUGAACAUGGUAUACUGGAAAGACUUGGUUUGUUAUUUUAACGAAAACAUAACCUAUCUUUGUUAAACAUUAAUACCAAACUUGUUUUUGCAUGGAUUCCAUGACACUGUUAGCUUUUACCAGCUAGGACUGCUAUUUCUUGUCCAGGAAUCCCGCUUAACAUACAGGUUAAAGUCUGCUUGAAAGAGCCACUAACCUAGCUAAGCUGCGAAUGUUAGCCAUCAAGCUCACAAAGUUGGUCCCAGAUGGGUUUUCCAAUGGAGCCCUCUUUGUCUGGAGAAGUAAAUGAACAGUUUCAGCGCUCUAGGAGCUGUAUAUACAACGCUUUGUUCAGGACAAACUGGAACACUCAGCGUUCCAAUGCAGCAAUUGUUUACUUGCCGAGGAUUAUAGGCUUGAGGUGACUUCCUUGAUCACGCAGGUAGCCAGCCUACGUAAGAAACUGGGGAAAACGCAUAGUGGAAUGCUUACCUUUCUACACCGGACGGUGUUCGCGCAUGUUGCUUGCAUCUCCUGCCUUUCCUCCCCCCAUCUGAUAGCGGAGUCGAAGGUGCACAGCAAGAGGAGCAUGGUAAUCAAUGA
rnacentral:lncRNA from 1 species